UGCUGCUUUGCUGACGAGUGGCGGACGGGUGAGUAAUGUCUGGGAAACUGCCUGAUGGAGGGGGAUAACUACUGGAAACGGUAGCUAAUACCGCAUAACGUCGCAAGACCAAAGAGGGGGACCUUAGGGCCUCUUGCCAUCGGAUGUGCCCAGAUGGGAUUAGCUAGUAGGUGGGGUAACGGCUCACCUAGGCGACGAUCCCUAGCUGGUCUGAGAGGAUGACCAGCCACACUGGAACUGAGACACGGUCCAGACUCCUACGGGAGGCAGCAGUGGGGAAUAUUGCACAAUGGGCGCAAGCCUGAUGCAGCCAUGCCGCGUGUAUGAAGAAGGCCUUCGGGUUGUAAAGUACUUUCAGCGGGGAGGAAGGGAGUAAAGUUAAUACCUUUGCUCAUUGACGUUACCCGCAGAAGAAGCACCGGCUAACUCCGUGCCAGCAGCCGCGGUAAUACGGAGGGUGCAAGCGUUAAUCGGAAUUACUGGGCGUAAAGCGCACGCAGGCGGUUUGUUAAGUCAGAUGUGAAAUCCCCGGGCUCAACCUGGGAACUGCAUCUGAUACUGGCAAGCUUGAGUCUCGUAGAGGGGGGUAGAAUUCCAGGUGUAGCGGUGAAAUGCGUAGAGAUCUGGAGGAAUACCGGUGGCGAAGGCGGCCCCCUGGACGAAGACUGACGCUCAGGUGCGAAAGCGUGGGGAGCAAACAGGAUUAGAUACCCUGGUAGUCCACGCCGUAAACGAUGUCGACUUGGAGGUUGUGCCCUUGAGGCGUGGCUUCCGGAGCUAACGCGUUAAGUCGACCGCCUGGGGAGUACGGCCGCAAGGUUAAAACUCAAAUGAAUUGACGGGGGCCCGCACAAGCGGUGGAGCAUGUGGUUUAAUUCGAUGCAACGCGAAGAACCUUACCUGGUCUUGACAUCCACGGAAGUUUUCAGAGAUGAGAAUGUGCCUUCGGGAACCGUGAGACAGGUGCUGCAUGGCUGUCGUCAGCUCGUGUUGUGAAAUGUUGGGUUAAGUCCCGCAACGAGCGCAACCCUUAUCCUUUGUUGCCAGCGGUCCGGCCGGGAACUCAAAGGAGACUGCCAGUGAUAAACUGGAGGAAGGUGGGGAUGACGUCAAGUCAUCAUGGCCCUUACGACCAGGGCUACACACGUGCUACAAUGGCGCAUACAAAGAGAAGCGACCUCGCGAGAGCAAGCGGACCUCAUAAAGUGCGUCGUAGUCCGGAUUGGAGUCUGCAACUCGACUCCAUGAAGUCGGAAUCGCUAGUAAUCGUGGAUCAGAAUGCCACGGUGAAUACGUUCCCGGGCCUUGUACACACCGCCCGUCACACCAUGGGAGUGGGUUGCAAAAGAAGUAGGUAGCUUAACCUUCGGGAGGGCGCUUACCACUUUGUGAUUCAUGACUGGGGUGAAGUCGUAACAAGGUAACCGUAGGGGAACCUGCGGUUGGAUCACCUCCUUA
rnacentral:rRNA from 1 species